rnacentral:rRNA from 1 species
AACGAACGCUGGCGGCAGGCUUAACACAUGCAAGUCGAACGCACCGCAAGGUGAGCGGCAGACGGGUGAGUAACACGUGGGGAUCUGCCCAAUGGUACGGAAUAGCUCCGGGAAACUGGAAUUAAUACCGUAUGAGCCCGCAAGGGGAAAGAUUUAUCGCCAUUGGAUGAACCCGCGUCGGAUUAGCUAGUUGGUGUGGUAAAGGCGCACCAAGGCGACGAUCCGUAGCUGGUCUGAGAGGAUGAUCAGCCACACUGGGACUGAGACACGGCCCAGACUCCUACGGGAGGCAGCAGUGGGGAAUAUUGGACAAUGGGCGCAAGCCUGAUCCAGCCAUGCCGCGUGAAUGAUGAAGGCCUUAGGGUUGUAAAGCUCUUUCGCCGACGAAGAUAAUGACGGUAGUCGGAGAAGAAGCCCCGGCUAACUUCGUGCCAGCCGCCGCCGUAAUAC